GGGGGGACAACAGAGACACAGCGCAGGAGAACCGAGAAGUAGGGGAGGGGAGAAUAACACAUAGACUUGGGCGGAAGAGUCCAUUGAGGGAGGAGGGGGGACGAGAGCGCAAAGUGAGCAGAGAUAUCCAGUGAAGGAGAAUCCAGAUGAAGAGAACUCAACCUGCCACUGGGGAUGGGGUCACCAUGGCCAAGGAGCUAUCAAGAUGGGAUUAUGGGUGGGUGGAGUCUGGGAAAAGAGAAAGCCAAGUUUCGCAGGCCCUGCCAGAAACGGACCGGUCUUGAAGUGCUAAGACAUCUAGGGACUGGUUCUGGAAGCCCAAGCCAAGCAAAGUCAAGCAUCUCGGGAUCCCUUCUGAAGGGUCAAGGAUCAGACUGACUUCUGGGUUAUGAAGUUUUUCAAAUGAUUAAGAGUGGACUGGAGAGAUGGCUCCACAGGUGAAGAUGCUUGCUGCCAACUCCGAUGAUGACCUGGAUUUGGUUCCCAGAACCCACAAGGUAGAAGGAGGGAGAUGACUCCAGCAAAUUGUCCUCUGACUGCCUCACACAUAGGUAUGCACAAAAUUAAGUAAAUACAUACAUAAAUGUAAAAACACUUGAAAAAAAAAGACCCACGAGUACACAUAGAAAUGAUCAUUGUCCUGAUUAUAACCCUGAUUUGAUCAUUACAUAAUGUACACAUCUAUCAACUUACCAGAACCCACACCAUAAAGAUGUACAGUUCUUAUACUUCAGUUAAACCAGGUUUAGUAAUUUGCACAAACUUUUAAAUUGGGAUUUGAAAUCAGACAUUCCUGACUCAAAACCUGUUUAUAGAAAACACUAACAGCAAAACACUAUUACACAGCCUCAAAAUUACAGGCCCUACAGGGGACCACUGUGCAGUCCUGGCAUCAAUCACUUUGGCCUCCAGCCUCAUCCAAUUUACCUAGAAAAAUGUCCACUGUCCACACUCACCGCAAGGGGGAGCUACAUCCCCCACACUUGGCUAAGCUAAUAGAGAUGGCUAAAUGUCUUUCUUGGAUCUCGAUUCUCUUCAGAAAGAUUAUCCUGAAUAAACAUUUUGCCACCAUAGCUCUUUCUAGGAAACAGAUCUGACCACGUCCCUGUUUCAGACCUUCAAAGGGUGCCAACACUGACAGCCUGACAGAACUCAGGGCACACAGAUUGCCUUUCGUGAUGUGGCCGGUCUCCCUCCACAGACCCACAACUUCCCUAGUUUCCCAACAUCCCCUUUUCUUCGUGCUUCCCUUCCUCUGAACAUGCCUCCUCUGCCCCUGUUGCUCCUAUCACCCUUUCCAUCCAUUCUACUCAAUAACAUAUUAUACUUCGUGUUCCCUUUAAUUCUGCCUAAAACAUCUCAGCUAACUCCUAACCCGUCUUCCUUCUUAACCAACCCUGACAAAAACCAUGUCUUCUGUGUCAAGUGAACAUCUCCAGUUCCCUAGGGUACUGAAAGGUCCCCAGGAGGCAAACCACGCUUUAUAGGUGUAUACCUGCCCAGCCUUGCCAGGCAGUAAAUUCUCCUGUGCUAAACUAAGAGCCCCUAAUUAAAGCCAUCCACCUGUGGCUCUUCUUGGGAGUCACCUUCAGAGGUUCAGGGGCAGAGUUCAUAAAGACACUUUUCAGUUCUUCACUCAAGUGAAGUCAGAUUCAACUUAAAACCUGCUAUAAAUCAAGCCAAGGUGGUGGGCCAUGUCUAUAGCAUCAACACUUGGGCAGUGUUAGCUGGAGGAUCAGGAGUUCAAGGUCAGCCUUGGCUGCAUAGUGCGUUUGAGACCAGCCUGGCCAACAAAAGACCUGAUGUCUUUUCUCACUCAUACCUCCUCCCUGUAAUACAUCCCUGUAUUAAUCAAUGUUCUAGAUGAGGAAACUGUAUCAGACUUACCAUCUUACUUAAAUAAAGAAUGAAGGAAUACAAGGAACCAAGUGUGUUUUCCAGAGGUGAGAUAUUGGCUGGCUCCUCUGCCCUUGUCUCCAGGCGCUUUUCUGCAUCACCAGCCCCAGCAGGAGAGACUUUGGUUACAAGGAAAUCUAAAAGGAGGCAAAAGACAUGCUUUAGAAUAAGAAUUGUUUCUCCAUAUUUAAAUGUUCGCUUAGUAUCCUCUAAAUGUUAUAGUCAUUAAGCAUAGAAUAUUUGAGUCUCCUAAGGAAAAUUACACAGAGAAAAGCAAAAGACUCCGGGAUCUUAAAGGGAUCCAUCAGACCCUUUGUUUAUAAAAAUAAAAUUGGGGCUGGAGAGAUGGCUCAGAGAUUAAGAGCACCGACUGCUCUUCCAGAGGUCCUGAGUUCAAUUCCCAGCACCCACAUGGUGGCUCACAACCAUCUGUAAUGAGAUCUGGCACCCUUUUUCGUAUACAUAAUAAAUAAAUCUUUAAUAAAAAUAAAAUCACUACUAUUCAGAGUACCUCAUCAUGUCUCCUGUCCAUUCAGGGGAAUUGAAAACAAACAAACCCCCAAAUGUAUGGUUUCUCCAUAUAGACAGAAUUGCCAGGCAUGGUUGGUGCAUGCUUUUAAUCCCAUACUCAGGAAGCAGAGGCAGGAGGAUCUCUAUGAGUUCAAGGCCAGCCUGGUCUAAAGAGUGAGAUCUUGUCUCAAAACAAACAAAAACAUCCCCACAAAACCAAACCAACUAACCCACCAACAAAACCCAAAACAAAUCAAAAAGACCAGCACCAUCAAACAAAACCACGCAGACACAAUCACAUUCAGCCAGUCCUAAUAACUCGAGUUUGAUCCCUGCAACCGCAUAGCAGAAGGAGAGAUCUGACUCCUGAAAGUUGUCUUCUCCACAUGUGCCCCAUGGCGCACACACACACUAAAUUAAAACAUUAAGGAAAAGGAAAAAGGCUCGCAGAUAGAAUACACUAAGGCUUAGCAUAGCUGGCAUGUCUCGGGUACUUCAUAUUUAGUUUAUGGACAGGGACAACUUGGUGAAAUAUGGCAGAUACCAGGGAUGAUGCAGAAGAAUUCUCUGCAGAGUGGAAACUGGCAUCUGUAGAAGCUUUGUGAAAGAAGGAGAGCCCAGUUAUACCUGAGAGGAUUCCACACAGGAGGGGAGGGGAGGGAAGGUAUUUCGACUUGCAUUACAUGAGCCUGGCAUGUCUUGUCAACAGCAGUUAGUGAAAGGCUGGACUGGACCUUCUAGGGGUCUAGGGGUCCCAACCAUGAAAUUCAGUUCGGUAUUGACCUAGUGCUGACAGUGGGUGGCAUUUCCCCAGUUGGGUGAGCACCCUAGCACCUGAGGUGCAUGCUGUGGCACUGGGAAGGCCUGCCUGGGGAGGCAGCCGGCACUCUAUGGGAGGAGCCACAACAAAGACUCUGUCCUGCAAGCACCACCUUUCCCACUCCUGAAGGCUUCGAGCAAAAGUCCAGUGAAUCUCAGUGGUGUGACUCGUGACUUGUUUUCAGUAAACAGGACCUUUCAGAAUUAAGAAGAACUUGGAAAAUUACACGUGCCCAUGACGUCCUCUGGAACGUGGAAGUCCCUGACACAUCAUUCACUCUUGCUCAUCUAGACUUCUCCGCUUCGAUGUUUCCUACUUUUUGUGUAUUAGCUGGAGAGCAGGGCUGCUACUCUAGUGAGACCAGACUCUUCACGUCUACAGACUCAUGCCACAGCUGUGCUUCACACUCUCCCAAACACACAGAAUACUGCUGGAGCUGGCAGGCAGUGGUAACACACUAGCCUAACAAGCAGGAGGCCCUGAGUAUGAUCCCCAGGACUAUGAAAAACAACCCCUCCCCCUCUAAAGCACUCCAGGAGUGACGUCCCCAUAGUACUGUAUUGGAUGGCAGAAUAACACAAUGGGAGCUUUAAGUGAAAUGAGAGUGAGCUGUACAACAACUAGAAAGCCACUGAAACCGUUAUUGAGGAUGUUAGGGGGGAAAUCCACCUUUUCUCUCCACCAAUAUUUGCUGUGUGCUGUAAAUCAAGUAUUUACAAUUACAAGUGUCAGUCUGGUCUGGACUGUCGUUCCCGAAUUGUUUCCUCAAAGCACACUAUCAAAAGACACCUGGGAUCCUUCACAGAAUCUUUAAAAAGCUGUAUUUGCUCUAUCGAGGCAACAAAUCAAAAAAGCAACUGAAUCACUAUUGCCGUUCAGAGGAGUAGGGUGAAGAGGGAGAACCAGGGCCAGGAGUUCAGACUGGUGCCCGUCAGCCUUUCCUGGGAGCCUACUUCAUACAGACCGCUGUCCCCGGGCCAGCAAGCUCUGCUUUAGAGCAUGUGGCUUUGAAGGACAAGAGCUCAGGGUCCCACUGAGAUGAUUUGUAGCCAAACACUGGUUUGCAAGUUAGUGACAGCCCCUGGCUUCUUUCCUGUUUGCGACCUCCACGCACCCGAACUCUUUUCUGUUACUUAUGGGAGACUUUUAAAUCUUAUACAUACCUGGAUUGUUCUAUCUUUUCUGCCUUUGAGAAUAAAUAGUCUUAGCAGGCUUCUUUAUAAUACAUGUCUACUUUGUAGAGAAAAAAAAUUAUGAACUUUACCUGGAUCUAUGUCUUUCUCAGUAUUUGGCUUCUGUGACACCUCUGAGGCACUCAUGUGCCCGGUCACAGGUUGAUCCAACAGUCCAGGCUCCUCUGGAAGCUGCACACCGGUCACAGGUUGAUCUAAGAGUCCAGGAUCCUCUGGAAGCUGCACACCAGUCCCAGGUUGAUCCAAUAGUCCAGGAUCCUCUGGAAGCUGCACACCGGUCACAGGUUGAUCCAAGAGUCCAGGCUCCUCUGGAAGCUGCACACCGGUCCCAGGUUGAUCCAAGAGUCCAGCAUGCUCCUCCGGAAGCUGCACACUAAGAUCUCCUGUGUUUUCUUGUGGUAAGCUGUCCUGCUGGAGUGGCUGCACCUCUGGAGAAGAACACAUGGAGAGAGCUUGAUCACAGAUCCAUUUUGGUUCAUCCAACUGACCAGCACGCCCUCAUCACAUAGCCCAACGCCCUGGAUCAUGUGUACACAAGUGAAAAAGGAAGCAAGAGUUUUAAACUCUUCCCUAUAGAUUAACAAUGACUGAAGUACAGAUUUACAAAGAAGCCUUCACUCCACAGUGUUUCAUAAACACAUUCAUGGAAAAGACUCCAAUGAGCUGGGUGGUGGUGGUGGUGGUGGUGGUGGUGGUGGUGGUGCACGCCUUUAAUCCCAGCACUCGGGAGGCAGAGGCAGGAAGAUCUCUGUGAGUUCGAGGACAGCCAGGACUCUGUUACACAGGGAAACCCUGUCUCGAAAAAACCAAAAAAAAAAAAAAAAAAAGACUCCAAUGACUUGCCAUGGCAAGGCAGCAUGUGCCCACACAGACAUGUAGAAGAGAAUUCCAGUCCAGCACAGAACCCAAGAGCCACAUGCAGAACAUAAUCUCCUUCAUACACAGGUAGCUGGGCUCAUAACCUCCUUCAUACACAGGCAGCUGGGCUCACAGAGCUCAUACAGAGAAGGGCAUUCUGCACAUGGGCAGCUUGCCAAAGUAUCUUUCAAAUACUAUCAAACGACUGCCAAGCAACAGGGAAUGGGCCCAUUGCCUUCCCUAUGAGCCUGAGUGCAUCUUUGCAGCCUCAUAUUUUACACCAAAAACUUAAUUUGAGUUUUUGGUUUUUUUUUUUUUUUUUUUUUUUUUUUUUUUAGAAAAAGUUAUUUUACGUGUAUGGGUAUUUUGUCUGCAUGUGCAUGCAGUGUCCACAGAGGCCAGAAGAGGGCAUCAGAUCUCCUGGAACUGGAGGUAUAAUGGUUGUGAGCUGCCAUGUGGGUGCUGAAAACAGAAAUCAGAUCCUUUGCCACAGAAACCAAUUCUCUUUUAACUGCUGAGCCAUCUCUCCAACCUGAAUUUUCCAUUCUUAACCAAAAGAUUUGAUUUUAAAAAAUGCUCACUUCUCCCAAUUCUCAGGAAAAUUACCUCUAGGAAGACAGCUAUUCCUGUGACUCUGUGUCCAUCACCAAUCACUUGCAAUGCAGCUACUUCUAUUUGUAAAGCAUGGAUACAAAGAAUAUAAUGUGUAACUAGGAAUCAGGAGCUUAUGACAGGUAUCCUGGGGUCAGUUCAACAGAUAGGUACUUCUAUUUGUCCAGUACUGUUAGAAAGCUCCGUGUCCUGGUUCCGGCCUUGAUUAACCUAAGAACCCCAGGGCCCAGUGAAGUAUAACUGGAGAAAACCACUGUCCCUAAGAAGCAGGAAACAGCAGGACCCCCACAAAAGAUGAAAAUUAGGAGUGAAGGAUUUCACACACGGCAUCCAUUUAAUGAGCUGUUUUGGCCAAUCCUUGUAUAAAAAGCAGUUACUGUUAGGAAACUAUCCAAGAUACAUGUAUAUCGAGGACUCUCAAAAGGAUUCCAGUCACUUGGGAAAUAAGGCCAGCAAGUGGCAAAUGGGAUUUCAUCAACUUAAAAAGCUUCUGCUCAGCAAAGGAAGUGAUAAAGUAAAGAAGCAAGACAGAAUGGGAAGAAACUUUUGUUCCCUACAAUUCAACCUAGAAUAUACAAAGAACUCAGAAGACUAGAUAAUAACCAGAUGUUCAGCCUCACGAGCCACCAAAGAAAUGAACAUUGAAACUAUUGAGAUUCUACAUCACCCCAGCCAGAACAGUGGUCAGUAAGAAAGCAAAUGCUGGUGAGGAUAUGAUAAACAUGAACCUUUAUUUAUUGCUGGCAGGUAUGAAAACUACUCCAGCUACUAUGGAAAUCAAAAAACUAAAAAUAAGUCUACCAUAUGCACCAGCUCCACCACUCCUGAGUAUUCACCCAAUGGACUCCAAGACAACAUAACUUGGAGAUAUAUUGCACAUCAAUGUUUACUGUAACCUUAGUCACAACUCUGUGUUAUGGAGACAACCUAGGUGUUCAACAAUAGAGGGACAGAUGAAGAAAAUGUAGGACGUAUAUACUGUAGGAUCUUUUCUGUCAUAAAGAAGAAUGAGGUUAUAUCAUUUGCAGGAAAAUGGAUGCAACCAGAAAUUAUAUUAAGUGAAUUAAGUCUGUCUCCAAAGGAGAGACAUCACAUUUCCUCUUAUUUCUGGAUCUCAGGAUUUAUAUAGGUACAUAAAAUCAUAUAUAUAUUUAUACAUAUAAGACAUGAAAAUUGAAACUUCUCUGUCUAGAGGAACAAAGAAGGCCAACUGGAUAGGGAAGGGUGAGAAAAGGAAGGGUAGAAUGGUGUAGAGAAGGGACAUGCUUGAAGUACUUUGCAUAUUUAGAAUGUUAUGAAAGCAGUACAAUGCUGAAUAUAUGUGAGUAUAAAUAAAUAACUACAUGAAGAAAUUGUGUUCAAUAAAGCCCCUUUUAUAACCUUAUAUGAAAGCUGUACUUUGUUAGGAGUUUUACUUUGUGAAUUAUUUUCUUGGUUACAUCUUAAGAUUUUUUAUAAAGUUUCCUUUUGAAAAUGAAAAA